CUGUGAGCGCGCGAAUAUUGACGGUUGAAAAGCGGCGGUUGGUCAGUGAGGUGAACUGAAUCAAACAGAACUGAGGUGACCCAGCGACGAAGUUUAUCGAAGGCUACUGAUUUUCUGGAAAGUAAGUUAAUGACACAACGCAAUCUGGAGAGCACUAAAGAGGUGGUCAGAGGAACAGAAAUGAAAAGGUCUCAAGCGAAAACACGGGAGGUUGAAAAUGCACCAUUUUCUGAGACAUCUCCAGCAAAAAUGAUGAAGGCACAGCAUUUCAAAUCAGCAGCUGGAGACACGUCUUAUGGGUUUGAAAUAGCAUUAGAAGGCAAGUCCUGGUUUUCUCUUUCAUCCUGUG